rnacentral:rRNA from 1 species
GACGAACGCUGGCGGCGUGCCUAAUACAUGCAAGUAGAACGCUGAAGGAGGAGCUUGCUUCUCUGGAUGAGUUGCGAACGGGUGAGUAACGCGUAGGUAACCUACCUGGUAGCGGGGGAUAACUAUUGGAAACGAUAGCUAAUACCGCAUAAGAGUAGAUGUCGCAUGACAUUUGCUUAAAAGGUGCAAUUGCAUCACUACCAGAUGGACCUGCGUUGUAUUAGCUAGUUGGUGAGGUAACGGCUCACCAAGGCAACGAUACAUAGCCGACCUGAGAGGGUGAUCGGCCACACUGGGACUGAGACACGGCCCAGACUCCUAAGGGAGGCCGCAGUAGGGGAUCUUCGGCAAUGGACGGAAGUCUGACCGAGCAACGCCGCGUGAGUGAAGGAGGGUUUCGGAUCGGAAAGCUCUGUUGUAAGGGAAGAACGAGUGUGAGAGUGGAAAGUUCACACUGUGACGGUAUCUUACCAGAAAGCGACGGCUAACUACGUG